UACGGGAGGCAGCAGUGAGGAAUAUUGGUCAAUGGACGAGAGUCUGAACCAGCCAAGUAGCGUGCAGGAUGACGGCCCUAUGGGUUGUAAACUGCUUUUAUAAGGGAAUAAAGUGAGUCUCGUGAGACUUUUUGCAUGUACCUUAUGAAUAAGGACCGGCUAAUUCCGUGCCAGCAGCCGCGGUAAUACGGAAGGUCCGGGCGUUAUCCGGAUUUAUUGGGUUUAAAGGGAGCGUAGGCCGGAGAUUAAGCGUGUUGUGAAAUGUAGAUGCUCAACAUCUGCACUGCAGCGCGAACUGGUUUCCUUGAGUACGCACAAAGUGGGCGGAAUUCGUGGUGUAGCGGUGAAAUGCUUAGAUAUCACGAAGAACUCCGAUUGCGAAGGCAGCUCACUGGAGCGCAACUGACGCUGAAGCUCGAAAGUGCGGGUAUCGAACAGGAUUAGAUACCCUGGUAGUCCGCACGGUAAACGAUGGAUGCCCGCUGUUGGUCUGAAUAGGUCAGCGGCCAA
rnacentral:rRNA from 1 species